rnacentral:rRNA from 1 species
GACGAACGCUGGCGGCGUCCUUAACACAUGCAAGUCGAACGGAAAGGCCCUGCUUUUGUGGGGUGCUCGAGUGGCGAACGGGUGAGUAACACGUGAGUAACCUGCCCUUGACUUUGGGAUAACUUCAGGAAACUGGGGCUAAUACCGGAUAGGAGCUCCUGCUGCAUGGUGGGGGUUGGAAAGUUUCGGCGGUUGGGGAUGGACUCGCGGCUUAUCAGCUUGUUGGUGGGGUAGUGGCUUACCAAGGCUUUGACGGGUAGCCGGCCUGAGAGGGUGACCGGCCACAUUGGGACUGAGAUACGGCCCAGACUCCUACGGGAGGCAGCAGUGGGGAAUAUUGCACAAUGGGCGGAAGCCUGAUGCAGCAACGCCGCGUGCGGGAUGACGGCCUUCGGGUUGUAAACCGCUUUCGCCUGUGACGAAGCGUGAGUGACGGUAAUGGGUAAAGAAGCACCGGCUAACUACGUG